rnacentral:rRNA from 1 species
AGCAGUCGCCGCGGUAAUACAGAGGGUGCGAGCGUUAAUCGGAUUUACUGGGCGUAAAGCGUGCGUAGGCGGCUUUUUAAGUCGGAUGUGAAAUCCCUGAGCUUAACUUAGGAAUUGCAUUCGAUACUGGGAAGCUAGAGUAUGGGAGAGGAUGGUAGAAUUCCAGGUGUAGCGGUGAAAUGCGUAGAGAUCUGGAGGAAUACCGAUGGCGAAGGCAGCCAUCUGGCCUAAUACUGACGCUGAGGUACGAAAGCAUGGGGAGCAAACAGGAUUAGAGACCCCCGUAGUCCCUGUCUCUUAUAC